rnacentral:pre_miRNA from 1 species
AUAAAGGAAGUUAGGCUGAGGGGCAGAGAGCGAGACUUUUCUAUUUUCCAAAAGCUCGGUCUGAGGCCCCUCAGUCUUGCUUCCUACCCCGCG